CGGCCAUAGGACCCCGACACCUUCUCAUGGAGGAGGAAGCUAUGGCGGCACGCCACCAGCUUGCAACUGCGGGAACCCACCAAAUGGAGGGCACCACCAUACUACUCCUUCUCCUCCCACCGGAGGUGGUGGUGGGUACUAUAACCCCCCUCCAAGCUCUAGCCCAACUACACCCACUAUUGUGAGUCCACCCACCAUUUUAAGUCCUCCAACCACUCCAAUCGACCCUGGAACUUCCAGUCCUCCAAUCUACCCCGGAACUCCAUCGAUUCCAUCACCUCCAUCUGGAGGAGGAAGCUAUGGCUGCACGCCACCAGCUGGAAACUGCGGAAACCCCCCAAGUGGAGGGCACCACCAUACUACUCCUUCUCCUCCCACCGGAGGUGGUGGUGGGUACUAUACCCCCCCUCCAAGCUCUACCCCAACUACACCCACCAUUGGGAGUCCACCCACCAUUUUAAGUCCUCCAACCACUCCAAUCGACCCUGGAACUUCCAUUCCUCCAAUCUACCCCGGAACUCCAUCGAUUCCAUCACCUCCAUCUGGAGGAGGAAGCUAUGGCUGCACGCCACCAGCUGGAAACUGCGGAAACCCCCCAAGUGGAGGGCACCACCAUACUACUCCUUCUCCUCCCACCGGAGGUGGUGGUGGGUACUAUACCCCCCCUCCAAGCUCUACCCCAACUACACCCACCAUUGGGAGUCCACCCACCAUUUUAAGUCCUCCAACCACUCCAAUCGACCCUGGAACUUCCAUUCCUCCAAUCUACCCCGGAACUCCAUCGAUUCCAUCACCUCCAUUUGCAUUUGAUCCAAACUCGCCGCCUUUUACUUGCAUGUAAGUAAUACUAUUCAUCUUUAUUUUUCAAAUCACACUAGGUGGCAUGUUUUAUUAAUAUUAAAAAUAAACAUAGUACAGACUUUGGAGGAGUCUCGGCCUGACCUAAGAGUAAAUUGACACUAACUUUGUUUUGUUCGAUAAACUGCAGUUACUGGAGGACUCACCCUGGACUGAUCUGGGGACUGUUCGGCUGGUUGGGAAGUGUCGGUGGAGCAUUCGGAGUGGCUAGCGUACCUGGGCUCGGAUCUAGCACGAACCUGCUACAAGCUCUUUCGAACAGCCGACCAGAUGGGCUCGGAGCACUCUACAGGGAAGGCACGGCUGCUUUACUGAACUCCAUGGUGCACAGAGGCUUCCCUUACACAACAAGGCAAGUUAGGGAUAGUUUUGCAGCUGCACUUAGCUCCAACAAGGCUGCAGCAGCUCAAGCAAAGCUAUUCAAGCAAGCUAAUGAGGGAAGAAGCAAGCCUAGAGCUUGAAUUACCAGUAACGUUUAUUCUGGAAUCUGAGUGACUGUGUGUUUUUUUCAUAUUUA
rnacentral:lncRNA from 1 species